AAGAAGGAAGAAAGCCAUUAAAGCUUAGUCAAGUUUCGGCCAUAUUCAAACUUAAAUUCAAGGUUCGUUUUUGUUCGGUUUUCAAUAAUUUUUACGUUUUUGAUAUCGUUGCUUCGAAUACUUUAAAACCCAUGCCUUAAUUUUAUGAAUUGUUGAUGAUUUUAAAAUGUACCAUUGAUGAAUGCUUGAGCUUUGUGAUAGUUGAUGAUGAAAUAUGAAAGAUAUGUGAAAGAUUAAUAUGUUUUGUCUUUGAAUUUUUGAUGAAUUUGAGUAAUUAGGGUUAAAUUGUAAAAAUAAAUUUUUGAGGGGUUAAAAUGUGAAAUAAAUGAAAUGUGUGGGCUUGUAAAGAUACUAGGAAUAUUCGGCCCUAAAGGAGUGUAGUCAAAUUUUGUGUAUUUUGUGUUUUGAGUAAAAAGGACUAAAUUGCAAAAAAGUGUAAAAUGUUAGGAGCAAAAUGUAAUUUGCCCAUUUAUGUAUUUUUGGAUUUAAUUGAAUGUUUUGAUGAAUAAAAAGGUUAAAUUUGAAUAUGUUUAGAUCGAAAAACGAAGAAAACGGAUUUGGAUUGGGGAAAAACGAAAGUAGUUGAAUAGUCGAUCGUGUCCGUUGAUAUCCGAGGUAAGUUUAUUAGCUAUUUAAUUUUAUUAAAUCAGUUUAUAUUACAUGUAUGAAUAUCAAAUGUAUUUAUGUUGAGUUAAAUUAAAAGUAUAUAAAUCGAAUGAGAAGUAUGAAAAUUAUGUAUAUAUAUGUGUUAGGUUCGAAUGAGUAUGAAUAUACAAAUAUAUAUACAUCAAUGUCUUUGUAAAUAAUUUAAGUAUGGAACUAUAGACAUGUGAUGUAUUCGAACAUAGGUAUGUAUAUAUGUCAAUAAAGUUUUAAUUUAGUUAAUGUUAAUUGUUUUAUAUGUUUACAUGAUGUUCGAAUAGAUAUAUAUAAAGAUAUAUAUAUGUAUCAAAUAUUUGUAUAAGUUGGAUUGAAUAAGCAUAUAUAUAUGAAUAAAUAAUUAUAUUGAGUAUAGGUAUGAAAUUAUAUUUAUAUAUAUGUGUGUUAAUUUCGAAUAUGUAUGUGUAUAAUGUAUAAAAGUACAAGUUCUUGUUUCGAAUAUAAGCAUAGAGUAAUAUAUAUUUGUUAGAUUCGAAUAUGUAUAUAUGUACAUGUAUAAGAUCUUGUAUUGAAAAGGUAUAUGAAAUUAUAUAGGUAUAUAUGGAAUUCAAAUGUUAAAAGUACAUAGUAUAUUAUAAGUUAAAUCUUAUGAUAUUAGUAGUGGAAUCUAAAGUAUGAGGUUAUAUAUAUAUAUAAAUGUGUUUCGGUUGAAUUAUUGAAUUAUUUAAGUUAGAUUUGAUGAUUGGGAUUUAUAUAUAUCCAUGUGUUUUAAAGAUAUAAGUUUAUGAAUAUUGAGCUGAAUUUUAUGUGGAUUUUAUAUACAAAUAUGAGAUACAACUUCUGUGAAUUGAGAUUCUUUUGUUAAAGCUCAGUACCAAUCGGAUUUAUUGCCAAUGAAAUUAUUCAGACUAUACGUCUAGCAGGCUAAGUGCCGGUGAUCUGAAUCAGGUUAUAAACCUAGUAGGCUAAGUGCCGGUGAUCUGAAUCAGGUUAUAAACCUAACAGGCUAAGUGCCGGUGAUCUGAAUCAAGCUAUAAGCCUAGCAGGCUAAGUGCCGGUGAAUCUAUUAAAUUAAGUGAUUAUAUGCAUUUGAUAUAUAUAUAUGAUUUUGGUUAUAUGUAAUGGAUAAGUAUAUGAACAUUUAUUUAUAUGUAUUUGAUGAGCAUAUAAAUGUUUGGAUCUAUGUGUUUAGUGAAUAGGCACAUAUAUUGGUUGUUAUGAAAAUUGUUGAAUAUACAUGUAUGCAUUCGGCACAUGUGGAUUAAAAGUAUAAAUGUGCAUUUGGUUCAUGUAGUUGAUAAGUAAAAAUAUAAGCUUUUGACUUAUGUAUUUGAAAGAUCAUAGAUAUGCAUUCGAUGAAAUGCAAACGAUAAGUAUAUUAGAAAUUAGUAUAUGCAAUUAAUGAUUAUGUCUGUAACUUGAUUAUAAGCAUAUAAUGUUUAUACAUAUGUUCGUUUAUAUGUAUUUUAGAUAUGCUAUAAACUUACUAAGCUAUAAAAGCUUACUUUGAUUGUUUUUGUCCAUUUGUUUUAUAGUUAAAAAUCAAGCUGCAGACUCGGGGAUCGUUAGCGAAGAUCAUCACUCUAUCUACUAUCUCAGUAUUAAAAUGUUUAAAUUUUAACUUAUGGCAUGUAUAGGCUAAAUAAAAUUUUGGGAGUCGUACUUUAAUGUACUGUAUAUAUAUAAUUAAUAGCCAUAUGAAACUAGCUUAUUUUUCUCACGG
rnacentral:lncRNA from 1 species